rnacentral:lncRNA from 10 species
GGGGUUUUGUUCUUUUGCCCUUUGCAGUAAAUCUUGCUGCUACUAACUCUUUGGGUCCACGCUGCCUUUGUGAGCUUUAACACUCACCACGAAGGUCUGCAGCUUCACUCCUGAAGCCAGCGAGACCACGAACCCACACUGAAGGAAGGAAACUCGGAACACAUCCGAACAUCAGAAGGAACAAACUCGACACGUUGCCUUUAAGAACUGUGACACUCACCGCGAGGGUCGGCGUCUCCAUUCUUGAAGUCAGUGAGACCAAGAACCCACCAACCAAUUCCGGACACAAUCUCAGCACUGUGGGAGACUGAGGUCUUUCCUGAGCACACAGAAGAUCAAGACCACACUCACUGACUUCUCAUAGUCAAGCAAUUUUGGCCAAUUAAAUGUCAGUUGGAAACUCCUGUGUCAGCUUCUCUGUGGCGGUGAGAAGUCCCUGUGUGACAUCCCAACUCUCCCCUCACCUGCGUUGGCAACCAAGAAAGCCUUGUGUUGGAGGUGGGGCCACAAGUUUAAAGCUAAGUUACCACCUCGAGGGCACAUUCCUGGAGAGCUUCCCAGGCCCACAGUGGCACGUGUAUGAGUGACAGAUCCACUUCUUUAUUACCUUUUUGAAGAACAGGAACCUUUGUCUGGAAAUUCCACAAGUAUGCCUUUUGCAAGAUUAAAAGUGCCACAAAGAACAAAAAUGAGCCCAGGACCAGAUGCAUGUUAAAAGCCAUCAGACACGUUAAGUUUCAUCUCCAUUGACCUGCAGAAGGAGUCUCUCACCACAGCCACCACAUCUAUGCAUGUGCUGAGUCACAUGUGAAGCCAGCACAUCUCAGAGUCUCACCGAAAGCUCAUGAGCCAGUUGGAGUGUGAGGCUUCAGAAUCGCCUUCCAACUCUCUGUGCACUGCACCAGCUGCUUCCCAUAGACUCCUGGUAAAAUAUUACCUAUGACUCCAGGAUUUGCCAGUGAAAGAAGUCAACAAUAUUUUAACUUUGAUCUUAACCAAAAGGCCAAGAAGUGAUGCUAAUAUUUUCAUAUACUACGACAGUUGCAGACACACGUCUAUCAUAGCUGGGUAGUAAUCCAGGCAACUCUGCCACAAGUCAUGGGCUCAGCCACCAGUCCACGAAGUCUCCAGUCACACAUAUUGCUUCGGACUAUUCUCUAUCCCCAGUUGUCAAUUAACUAAAAUAUUAAAUGAGCUCCUUCCAGUUGGCUGAGAUUUAAAGGAUGGUUGGAGAUCCAGCAGCCAUCUUGGACCAUGAGGUGAAUCAUGAUGAAGCAAAAUGACAGAAAGAGCCAAGAUCCUUGUCCUGUGGAAAGCAAUACAG